CGUGACCCCAGGUCAGCUGGGACCACUCGCUGAGUUUAAGCACAUCAAUAAGUAGAAGAAAAGAAACUUACCAGUAUUCCCCUAGUAACGGCGAGCGAACCGGGAACAGCCCAGGCUGAAAAUCGGUCACUCUCGGCAUUUGAAUUGUAGUCUAGAAAAGUGUCCUCAGCGGCGAACCAGGGCCAAGUCCCCUGGAAAGGGGCGCCUGAGGGGUUGAGAGCCCAUUGUGCCUGGACCCUAUCGCACCACGAGGCACUAUCUGCGAGUCGAGUUGUUUGGGAAUGCAACCCUAAUUGGGCGGUAAAUUCUGUCCAAGGCUAAAUAUAGGCGAGAAGCCGAUAUUGAAUAAGUACCAUGAGGGAAAGAUGAAAAGGACUUUGAAAAAAGAGUCAAAGAGUGCUUGAAAUUGUCGGGAGGGAAGUAGUUGGGGGCAAGUGAUGUGCCCCAGUCGGAUGCGAAAUGGAAUAAACCUGUCUAUCAAUUGGCUCGGGGUGUGGACCGACGUAGAUAGUGUUCGCAUCCCAAGCCCGGGCUUUUGAAAUGCUCGUGGAGAUGAUGUCACCUUAAUCGUGGCCUGUAGCAUGCGCCUCACGAUCUGCCUUAGCAUCCGUGUGCUCCUGCCAUUGGCCUACGGGCUCCCCAUUCAACCCGUCUUGAAACACAGAUCAAGGAAUCUAACAUGCGUGAAAAUCAACGGGCAAGAAAACCUGUAAGGCAAAAGGAAGCUGAUUGGUGGGAUCCACUGUGGGUGCACCACUGACCAACCUUGAUCUUCUGAGAAGGGUUCAAGUGAGAGCAUGCCUGUCGGGACCCGAAAGAUGGUGAACUAUGCCUGACCGGGGCAAAGCCAGAGGAAACUCUGGUGGAGACCUGCAGCGAUACUCACGUGCAAAUCGUUCAUCUGACUUGGGUAUAGGGCGAAAGACUAAUCGAACCGUCUAGUAGCUUGUUCCCUUUGAAGUUUCCCUCAUGAUAGCUAGAGCUCAUGCGAGUUCUAUCGGGUAAAGCCAAUGAUUAGAGGCAUCGGGGGCGUAAUGCCCUCGACCUAUUCUCAAACUUUAAAUAGGGAGGAUGGCGUGGCUGCUUUGUUGAGCCGCAUCAUGCAAUUGAGACCUCCAAGUGGGCCAUUUUUGGUAAGCAGAACUAGCGAUGCGGGAUGAACCGGAAGCCUGGUUACGGUGCCCAACUGCGCACUAACGUAGAUCCUCACAAAGGGUGUUGGUCGAUUAAGACAAAAGGACGGUGGUCAUGGAAGUCGAAAUCCAAUAAGGAGUGUGUAACAACUCACCUGCCGAGUCAACUAGCCUCGAGAAUGGAUGGCGCUGAAGUGUGCGACCCAUACCCGACUGUCGGGGCAAGUGCCAGGCCUUGAUGAGUAGGAGGGUGCGGCGGUCACUGGAAAACCCACGGCGUGAGCCCGUGCGGAGCGGCUGUCAGUGCAGAUCUUGGUGGUCGUUGCAAAGAUUCAAAUGAGAACUUUGAAGGCCGAAGAGGCGGAAGGUUCCACGCGAACGAAACUUCCACAUGGGUUAGUUGAUCCUAAGAGACAGGGGAAGCCCAUCUGAUGGCUCUUCGGCGCGAGCUUCGAAAGGGAAUCGGGUUAAAAUUCCAGAACCGGGAUGCGGUGGCUGAUGGCAACUUUAAGGAGUCCAGAGACGUUAGUGGGGGCCUAAGGAUAAGUUAUCCUUUCUGUUUAACGGCCUGCCCAUCCUAGAAACAACUCAGCUAAAGGUAGGGUCCAGCGGCCGGAAAAGUGUCGUAUGUCUCACAGCAUCCGGUGCGCCCACGGUAGCCCUUGAAAAUCCAGAGGACCGAGUGUCGUCUGGGUCCAGUCGUACUCAUAACCAUAUUAGGUCUCCAAGGUGAAUAGCCUAUCGUCAAUGGAACAAUGUAGGCAAGGGAAGUCGGCAAAAUGGAUUCAUAACAUCAGGAAAAGGAUUGGCUCUAAGGGCUGGGUAUGGGGGUCCCACUCCCGAACCCGUCAACUGUCGGAAAACUACUCGAGCUACUCCCACGGCGAGAGGGGGUCACCGCAUGCCGGUCGUGGGACGGACUGAGAACGGCCCCUUGUGGGGCCUUCCCCGGGCAUCAAACAGCCAACUCAAAACUAGUACGGACAAGGGGAAUCUGACUGUUUAAUUAAAACAAAGCAUUGCGAUGGUCCUUGCGGAUGCUUACGCAAUGUGAUUUCUGCCUAGUGCUCUGAAUGUCAAAGUGAAGAAAUUCAACCAAGCACAGGUAAUCGGCGGUAGUAACUAUGACUCUCUUAAGGUAGGCAAAUGCCUUGUCAUCUAAUUAAUGAUGCGCAUAAAUGGAUUAAUGAGAUUCCUAUUGUCCCUGUCUACUAUCUAGCGAAACCACAGCCAAGGGAAUGGGCUUGGCAAAAUCAGCUGGGAAAGAAGACCCUGUUGAGCUGGACUUUAGUUUGACUUUGUGAAAUGAUUUGAAAGGUGUAGGAUAAGUGGGAGCCCUAUGGGCACAAGUGAAAUACCAUUAUUUUAACGUUAUUUUACUUAUUCCGUGAAUUGGAAGCAGGGCAAUGCCCCUCCUUUUGGACCCAAGGCUUGCCUCAGUGGGCCAAUCCAUGUGGAAGACAUUGUCACGUAGGGAGUUUGGCUGGGGUGGCACAUCUGUUAAAAGAUAACGUAGGUGUCCUAAUAUGAGCUCAACAAGAACAGAAAUCUCGUGUGGAACAAAAGGGUAAAAGCUCAUUUGAUUCUAAUUUUUAGUAUGAAUAUGAACCGUGAAAGCGUGGCCUAUUGAUCCUUUAGACGUUCAGAAUUUGAAGCUAGAGGUGUCAGAAAAGUUACCACAGGGAUAACUAGCUUGUGGCAGCCAAGCGUUCAUAGUGACGUUGCUUUUUGAUCCUUUGAUGUUGGCUUCCCUAUCAUUGUGAAGCAGAAUUCACCAAGUGUUGGAUUGUUCACCCACCAAUAGGGAAUGUGAGCUGGGUUUAGACCAUCAUGAGACUGGUUAGUUUUACACUACUGAUGACCGCGUCGUGAUAGUAAUUCAACCUAGUAUAAGAGGAACCAUUAAUUCGCACAAUUGGUCAUCGUGCUUUGUUGAAAAGCCAGUAGCACGAUGCUAUCGUGCGUUGGAUUAUGACUGAACACCUCUACAUCAGAAUCCAGCUAGAAGCGACACAUGCACCGGUCACCCGUUUUCCGACCCGCAGUUGGGGCCUCGGCCCCCAAGGGCACAUGUCAGGGGAGCAAUUGCUGUGAUAGACUGGUUGU
rnacentral:rRNA from 1 species